AGGAUGAACGCUGGCGGCGUGCCUAAUACAUGCAAGUCGAGCGAACAGACAAGGAGCUUGCUCCUUUGACGUUAGCGGCGGACGGGUGAGUAACACGUGGGUAACCUACCUAUAAGACUGGGAUAACUUCGGGAAACCGGAGCUAAUACCGGAUAAUAUUUCGAACCGCAUGGUUCGAUAGUGAAAGAUGGUUUUGCUAUCACUUAUAGAUGGACCCGCGCCGUAUUAGCUAGUUGGUAAGGUAACGGCUUACCAAGGCGACGAUACGUAGCCGACCUGAGAGGGUGAUCGGCCACACUGGAACUGAGACACGGUCCAGACUCCUACGGGAGGCAGCAGUAGGGAAUCUUCCGCAAUGGGCGAAAGCCUGACGGAGCAACGCCGCGUGAGUGAUGAAGGUCUUCGGAUCGUAAAACUCUGUUAUUAGGGAAGAACAUACGUGUAAGUAACUAUGCACGUCUUGACGGUACCUAAUCAGAAAGCCACGGCUAACUACGUGCCAGCAGCCGCGGUAAUACGUAGGUGGCAAGCGUUAUCCGGAAUUAUUGGGCGUAAAGCGCGCGUAGGCGGUUUUUUAAGUCUGAUGUGAAAGCCCACGGCUCAACCGUGGAGGGUCAUUGGAAACUGGAAAACUUGAGUGCAGAAGAGGAAAGUGGAAUUCCAUGUGUAGCGGUGAAAUGCGCAGAGAUAUGGAGGAACACCAGUGGCGAAGGCGACUUUCUGGUCUGUAACUGACGCUGAUGUGCGAAAGCGUGGGGAUCAAACAGGAUUAGAUACCCUGGUAGUCCACGCCGUAAACGAUGAGUGCUAAGUGUUAGGGGGUUUCCGCCCCUUAGUGCUGCAGCUAACGCAUUAAGCACUCCGCCUGGGGAGUACGACCGCAAGGUUGAAACUCAAAGGAAUUGACGGGGACCCGCACAAGCGGUGGAGCAUGUGGUUUAAUUCGAAGCAACGCGAAGAACCUUACCAAAUCUUGACAUCCUUUGACAACUCUAGAGAUAGAGCCUUCCCCUUCGGGGGACAAAGUGACAGGUGGUGCAUGGUUGUCGUCAGCUCGUGUCGUGAGAUGUUGGGUUAAGUCCCGCAACGAGCGCAACCCUUAAGCUUAGUUGCCAUCAUUAAGUUGGGCACUCUAAGUUGACUGCCGGUGACAAACCGGAGGAAGGUGGGGAUGACGUCAAAUCAUCAUGCCCCUUAUGAUUUGGGCUACACACGUGCUACAAUGGACAAUACAAAGGGCAGCGAAACCGCGAGGUCAAGCAAAUCCCAUAAAGUUGUUCUCAGUUCGGAUUGUAGUCUGCAACUCGACUACAUGAAGCUGGAAUCGCUAGUAAUCGUAGAUCAGCAUGCUACGGUGAAUACGUUCCCGGGUCUUGUACACACCGCCCGUCACACCACGAGAGUUUGUAACACCCGAAGCCGGUGGAGUAACCAUUUGGAGCUAGCCGUCGAAGGUGGGACAAAUGAUUGGGGUG
rnacentral:rRNA from 1 species